GAGUUUGAUCGUGGCUCAGAUUGAACGCUGGCGGCAUGCCUUACACAUGCAAGUCGAACGGCAGCACGGGAGCUUGCUCCUGGUGGCGAGUGGCGAACGGGUGAGUAAUGCAUCGGAACGUAUCCUGGAGUGGGGGAUAACGUAGCGAAAGUUACGCUAAUACCGCAUAUUCUGUGAGCAGGAAAGCGGGGGACCUUCGGGCCUCGCGCUCUUGGAGCGGCCGAUGUCGGAUUAGCUAGUUGGUGAGGUAAAGGCUCACCAAGGCGACGAUCCGUAGCAGGUCUGAGAGGAUGAUCUGCCACACUGGAACUGAGACACGGUCCAGACUCCUACGGGAGGCAGCAGUGGGAAUUUUGGACAAUGGGGGCAGCCCUGAUCCAGCCAUGCCGCGUGAGUGAAGAAGGCC
rnacentral:rRNA from 1 species